rnacentral:rRNA from 1 species
GACGAACGCUGGCGGCGUGCUUAACACAUGCAAGUCGAACGGAAAGGCCCUGCUUUUGUGGGGUGCUCGAGUGGCGAACGGGUGAGUAACACGUGAGUAACCUGCCCUUUACUUUGGGAUAACUUCAGGAAACUGGGGCUAAUACCGGAUAGGAGCUCCUGCUGCAUGGUUGGGGUUGGAAAGUUUCGGCGGUUGGGGAUGGACUCGCGGCUUAUCAGCUUGUUGGUGGGGUAGUGGCUUACCAAGGCUUUGACGGGUAGCCGGCCUGAGAGGGUGACCGGCCACAUUGGGACUGAGAUACGGCCAAGACUCCUACGGGAGGCAGCAGUGGGGAAUAUUGCACAAUGGGCGGAAGCCUGAUGCAGCAACGCCGCGUGCGGGAUGACGGCCUUCGGGUUGUAAACCGCUUUCGCCUGUGACGAAGCGUGAGUGACGGUAAUGGGUAAAGAAGCACCGGCUAACUACGUG